AGAACGAACGCUGGCGGCAGGCCUCAAACAUGCAAGUCUAGGGGACGUAGCAAUACGUCACCGGCGGACGGGUGCGUAACACGUGGGAAUGUACUUACUGGUUCGGAACAACUCAGGGAAACUUGAGCUAAUACCGAAUGUGCCCGAAAGGGGAAAGAUUUAUCGCCAGUAAAUCAGCCCGCGUCCGAUUAGCUAGUUGGUGGGGUAAAGGCUCACCAAGGCGACGAUCGGUAGCUGUUCUGAGAGGAAGAUCAGCCACACUGGGACUGAGACACGGCCCAGACUCCUACGGGAGGCAGCAGUUGGGAAUCUUGGACAAUGGGGGAAACCCUGAUCCAGCCAUGCCGCGUGAGUGAUGAAGGCCUUCGGGUUGUAAACUCUUUCGGACGGGGACGAUAUGACGGUACCGUAGAAGAGCUCCGGCUAACUUCGCGCCAGCAGCCGAC
rnacentral:rRNA from 1 species